UACAGGGGGUGCAAACGUUGCUCGGAAUCAUUGGGCGUAAAGCGCACGUAGGCGGUUCGUUAUGUCGGAUGUGAAAGCCCUUGGCUUAACCGAGGAAGUGCAUCCGAAACUGGCGAGCUAGAGUACUAAAGAGGAUCGCGGAAUUCCCGGUGUAGAGGUGAAAUUCGUAGAUAUCGGGAGGAACACCGGUGGCGAAGGCGGCGAUCUGGGUAGAUACUGACGCUGAGGUGCGAAAGCGUGGGGGAGCAAACAGG
rnacentral:rRNA from 1 species